rnacentral:rRNA from 1 species
AGAGUUUGAUCCUGGCUCAGAACGAACGCUGGCGGCAGGCCUAAUACAUGCAAGUCGAGCGCAUCCUUCGGGAUGAGCGGCGGACGGGUGAGUAACGCGUGGGAAUAUGCCCUUCUCUAAGGAAUAGCCUCGGGAAACUGAGAGUAAUACCUUAUACGCCCUUCGGGGGAAAGAUUUAUCGGAGAAGGAUUAGCCCGCGUUAGAUUAGGUAGUUGGUGGGGUAAUGGCCUACCAAGCCUACGAUCUAUAGCUGGUUUGAGAGGAUGAUCAGCCACACUGGGACUGAGACACGGCCCAGACUCCUACGGGAGGCAGCAGUAGGGAAUCUUAGACAAUGGGGGAAACCCUGAUCUAGCCAUGCCGCGUGUGUGAUGAAGGCCUUAGGGUCGUAAAGCACUUUCGCCAGAGAUGAUAAUGACAGUAUCUGGUAAAGAAACCCCGGCUAACUCCGUGCCAGCAGCCGCGGUAAUACGGAGGGGGUUAGCGUUGUUCGGAAUUACUGGGCGUAAAGCGCACGUAGGCGGAUUAGUAAGUUAAGGGUGAAAUCCCAGGGCUCAACCCUGGAACUGCCUUUAAUACUGCUAGUCUUGAGUUCGAGAGAGGUAAGUGGAAUUCCAAGUGUAGAGGUGAAAUUCGUAGAUAUUUGGAGGAACACCAGUGGCGAAGGCGGCUUACUGGCUCGAAACUGACGCUGAGGUGCGAAAGUGUGGGGAGCAAACAGGAUUAGAUACCCUGGUAGUCCACACCGUAAACGAUGAAUGCCAGACGUCAGCAAGUAUACUUGUUGGUGUCACACCUAACGGAUUAAGCAUUCCGCCUGGGGAGCACGGUCGCAAGAUUAAAACU